CUUUUGAUGUCACCACUGUUGAAGCAACACCAACUGCCAUUUGGGGCAUUUGUACAGUACCUCUGGAAUUCACAAAGACAUAUUGGUGAGACUGAGAAAGCUACUUGGGAAAGAGUAUGGACAGCCUAGAGAAGAGAGAGAGGCAGAAGGAAGCUGGUCAUCUGUCUCAGGAUAAAACAUCAAGAAAUAAAUGUUCCAGGGAAAGGAAUGACUGGAAAGGCAUCAUUUCAACUCUCCCCUCACUGAGCAGGAUCUGGACAUGAACAAGGUGGAGAAAAUGACCAAUCAGCUACAGAUGAUGACCUGUUAGAGGAAUGAACUGCAUUGAAUCCUGGACCAUUAUACUAAUAAUGAUUUGAACAGCAGAACAUAUCUAAAGACCCAGAAAUGAAGAUAAAUGACAGAGAAUAUAUUUCUGUGGACAAGAAACAGUGUCUGUUUCUUGAUCAAACUACAUCACAGUAUUUACAUCGAUCGGAGCCAGCUCGCCAGAAGAGGUUAAAGAGGAGGGUUCGAAAACUUUUUGGAAGUCCGGAAGUUAAAGUUUGUCCUCAGGGAGAGCCUCUACCUAAUACCUCUGAAGAGCAAACACCCCUAAAGACCCAGCAAUAAAGAUACUUGAUAGAGAAUCUAUACUUCCAAGAUUUCCUCCUGGGGACAAGAGUGACUAUAUGUUGAUGGAGGAAAAGUAUACACUGGGUUGGACAGCCCCAUCAAACAUGAAACAACAAAGGAAGACUAAGUCAGCAGACCCAUAGAUCUGAUUGGGGCUGGAUCACCUGAAAGACAGCUGGUAUUUUCUUCACUGGUGAGUUCACAGCUCUAAAGGAGUGUCUUCUGAGGAGGAGGCCUUGAUCUCAGAGUAUAGAAUGUCAUGGGUUCAAGGCAUCUGUGGUUUUUUGGCCUCCUCAGUUUUCCCAAUAUCUGCUAUAUGAGAAGGAAAGGCAAUCAGACCCAGAAGCAGCC